AUACUGAAUCCCAGGCAGGAGCCCUCAGAGAUACCUGGAAAUCAGUGGGAUGGAGUUUGGAGUUUUUCAGGAUCCAGCUGCAAGUGCACAAGUGGUGGAAAGCUUUCACAGAUGCUGGACUUACCUCUGAGGAUGUGUGCUGAGCUCUCAGUGGAGGGACUGUCAGGCUGAAUGGCUGAGUCUGUGUUCUUUCACUGGGCAUCAGCAAUGCCCCAGUCCCGUUCCCAGGCUGUGCUCAGGCUGUGGCAGCACAGGCAGAUGCAGCUCUCAGCACUCCCUGCUCCAAACACAACUCUGGCCUCCAUUGCAAUCUGUCUCUGCUGGGAGGUUUUCUCCUAGAGAAAUCAAAGAAUUGCUCAUGGCACUUUGGAGACUCAAUCUGCACAAAGGGAAGUAAGGAAUAAAAUCCUGCUCCAGGAGCCCUUGGGCUCUGCAGGGCUGCUUAGGGAAGGGACAUUCACUCCCUGCAGUGCCCCCAGCCCACCUGCAGCACCAGCACAGGCUGCCAGCUGGGCUCUGCCAGCCCCUCUCUGUCACCCUCCCUGUGCUGCUCCCUCUCAGUGCCCUGGGCAAUCCAGCCCUGAGCCCGAGCAGCCCAAAGCUCUGGCUGGCAGCCCAGGGACAAAGGGACCCUGCCAGGGAUGAGGCACAUUCCCAGCAAACGCUCCCCACAGAGCACAGAGGCCCCCCUGGAGCUCCUGGGUGGGGCUGGCAGGAGGGCACAGCCCCAGUGGGGUGGCAGUGGCAGUGACAGCAGCAAAGUGCCACGGUCUGGUGGCACAGCAGAGACACCAAGGCCAGCAGUGCCCAGGGAGGGGCACAAUGAAUUCUGCUCCCUGUGCUGCCCCAUCCCAGCAGGAAAGCUCCAGGGGGGAUGGAAACUCCUCCCCUUCCCCCAGCCCCAGGUAAGCCCUGCUCGGUUUCACACACCCAGCUCUCACCUCCAGCUGCUCUGGGCCUGCUGCCACAUUCCUGCCAAGGUGCCAAAGCCACUUGGGACAGGGCUCCCUCUGUGUCCCAGGGGAUGGCAGGGACCAGGGUGCUCCAGCAAGGACAGCCUGAAACCAGAGCAGAUGUGUCAGGGUUAGCAAUGGGCUGGGGACAGGAGCUCUAAACCCAGAUUGCUGAAAACAGCCCCCAAAAUGUUCCAUGAGCUCCUUUAAAACGGCUCCAAAGGGCAGCAGCUCCACUGCCAGACCAGCACCUGCACCAUUCCCUGUGCCAGCCCUGGCUCACUGAAAAACAAAACAAAUCAACCAUCACACAGGCCCUGUUUGCAGAAUUCCUGCUCCAAACCCUCACCUUUCCUGCCCAGCACUGAGGGAAAUCUGACACAGCAUUAUAAAUAACCUUUGCUGAGAGCAGCCAUCACCCCAGUCCCCCAGCCUUGGCAAGAUUUGCAGUGAAUGGACCCAAGUUCUAACCCUGAACCUAAAUUCCUGUCAGUUUUUGGUAGAAAGAUACUGGACAGUAAAUCAUGCAACAGAAUUGAAAAACUGCUCAAGGAAUAACAAGGCCCAGAGCAAACCCAACCACCCCCAUCACUGCUGCACCCCAGUUCUGGGAGAAAUGCUGAUAUCAUUUCUAAAUACUCCCCUUCCCUCCCACUCAGUCUCCAGCCCAAAGCCCACUUCUCACAGACACAAACUAACAAGCCUGAGGCAUUGUUCCCAGCAGCAGAUGCAAUUCCUGAACUCUCUUUUCCCUGGAUUGCUCUUCUAAGCACUUGCAGGAAACUCACCUGAGCCCAGAGACUGUUGUGCUUUCCCAGAGGGAAACAGAGCCUGAUGGGCCCAGCUCUGGCACCACAUUGCCCUUGUCCCUGCUGACCUGGGAGGCCACAGGAUUUUCCCUUCUGAGAAGCUGAGGCCCCAGAAAAAGAAUGCAAACAAUGGUUAUCUGCUGCUGUGGAAGGCAACAGGUGCACUAGUGAUUGGCUGAAGGAUGUGUAUAAUUAAUGGCUAAUCAAGGACUGAGCUCUCUCUGGGACAGAGUCAGAGAGAGCUCCUCUGUAAUUCAUUCUUUUCUAUUCUUAGCUUAGCUGGCCUUCUGACAACUUUCCUCUCUGUUUCUUUUUAGUAUAGUUAUAAUGUAGUAUAUAUAUCAUAAAAUAAUAAAUCAAGCCUUCUGAACAUGGA